UUAAAAACAUGGUCUUUUGUUUAUAUAAAAGAUUUGGCCUGCCCCAUGAUUAUUUAAAUGGCUGCAGUAUUUUGACUGUACAAAGGUAGCAUAAUCAUUUGUCUCUUAAUUGGAGGCUGGUAUGAAUGGUUGGAUGAAAAAUAUACUUUCUUAUUUUUAUCAUAAAAAAAUUGAUUUUUUAGUCAAAAAGCUACAAUGGUUUUAAAGGACGAGAAGACCCUAUAGAACUUUACUUUUAUUUUUUAUAUUUUUUUUGGCUUAUGACAAAAUUAUAUGGUUUUAUUAGUUGUGUUGGGGUGAUAGGAAAAAUAUAAUAACUUUUUUUUAUUUACACAUUUAUAUAUGUUUUUUUGAUCCUUUAAUAUGGAUUAUAAGACUAAGUUACCUUAGGGAUAACAGCGUUAUUCUUUUGGAGAGUACAUAUCGAUAAAGGAGUUUGCGACCUCGAUGUUGGAUUAAAAUAAGCAGUAGGGGCAGAAUAUUACUGGCUAGGUCUGUUCGACCUUUAAAUUUUUACAUGAUCUA
rnacentral:rRNA from 1 species